GUCAUCAAAAUAUGAAAAUUAUUAAAUAUUCGUUGUGUUGAAUCUAUGUAGCGUGUGUUUUGUGUACAAAAUUAUUGUGAAAAGAAGUUUUGUCGUACAAAAUUAUAGGUGUAUUGUGGGUGCAAAUCCUUACAUGUUCGGCAGAUUGCUUACGCUGCGAACCGAAAAUUUCGUAUGUUUUAUAAGAAAAUGUUGUAAAGGCUCGAAAGUGGAAAUUUUUUAAACCCGCACGCUCACAAAGGCAUGAAGACCCAAUUUUAAAGCCGAUAAUUAAAUUAGAGAAGAGAGGAAAAAUCGUUGAGAACAUUGAACGACCCGACCAACAAGGCAAACGGUGGUAGGGGAACACGUGCGCCACAACAACUACACAGCUAUAGCUCUAGCAACUACUGCGACUGCUGCUGUUGGCGCUGCUAGUGCUAUUAGUACGAGAAGAAGGGUGACCGAUUUUACUUAUUGGAAUUGAGUGUGAACUUGAUGGAAAUGUUUUUGGUUUGAUUUGAGAAUUGAAAAAAAAAGAAAACUAAGACAAACCAAGUAGAAAGAAAGAACUUGAACAGAUAGAGAAUUAGCUACCGAAAAGCAAUUAAGCUGCUGCCGCAUGGAAAAAAAUACCAGACAGGAAAAAAGCAACAAUAACAACAUCAACAUGAAAACGAAUCAAACUACUUUUGUGUGUUAAAAGCAAAAUGUAGUGCCUUUGGAGUGUAAAACUGCUGUGGAUAUUUUAUUUUUAUUUUUUUUAUUGUGUAUGUAACAUUAAUGUAACAUACCCGUGUAACCCAUACGACCGAAAAUAAAUAGUUAUUAAUUAUAUACAGUAAAUAAGUAUAACAUAAUGUCGUUCAUAAAUAAUCUUAAGAAGGUGUUCCACCUUGGCGGUGGCGAGGCGAAGAAGAAACGUCUUUAUAAUAACAUCAAAAUGGACACUGAUCCAACGGAGUUUUGGGAGAUGGUAGGUGAGUUGGGUGAUGGCGCUUUUGGCAAGGUGUAUAAGGCGCAACACAAGGAACAAAAACGCUUUGCAGCGGCAAAGUUGUGCACUCUAGAAGAUGAGGAGAAUCUAAGCGAUCAUAUGGUUGAAAUUGAUAUCUUAUCAGAGAUAAAACAUCCAAAUAUAGUGGAAUUAUACGAAGCAUUCUCAAUAGAAGAUAAGCUGUGGAUGUUAAUUGAGUAUUGCGAUGGCGGAGCAUUAGACAGCAUUAUGGUGGAAUUGGAGAAGCCGUUAACUGAACCACAAAUAGCCUACGUGUGCCGACACAUGACUGAAGGUCUUAAUUUUCUGCAUAAAAAUAAAGUAAUACAUCGUGAUUUAAAGGCUGGUAAUGUUUUGCUAACCAUGGAGGGCGGUGUUAAGUUAGCUGAUUUCGGCGUAUCGGCUAAAAAUAAGCAUACUCUCCAAAAGCAUGACACUUUCAUAGGCACACCCUAUUGGAUGGCACCGGAGCUAGUGCUUUGUGAAACAUUUCGAGAUAAUCCUUAUGACUUAAAAGUGGAUAUCUGGUCAUUGGGCAUAACAUUAAUUGAGUUAGCGCAAAUGGAACCACCAAAUAGUGAAAUGUCACCGAUGCGUGUUUUAUUGAAAAUACAAAAGAGUGAACCGCCAACACUGGAUCAGCCAUCAAAAUGGAGUAAAGAAUUCGUUGAGUUUCUCAAAAAAUCAUUGGUCAAAGAUCCACAACAACGUCCCGCUACAGAUAUUUUAUUACAACAUAGAUUCAUAAAUUGUGAAUUAGACGCUAAACCCAUAAAAGACUUAUUAUUAGAAUAUAAAGCUGAAGUUGUUGAAGAAGUUGUCGAUGAUGAUGCUGAGGAACCCCGCAACUCGGCGCUCCGGCUCGACCUGGACGAUGACUCUGCCUCUUUGCAGAGCCAAGAUAUUGACAAACUUCCAGGUACCCCAACAUCAGUAUCUAUGGACUCUAAAGAACCAAAUCAAACAAAUAGUAUACCACAAAGUAAACUAUCACAACCGCAACAACCACAACAAGUUGGAGCUAAAGAAAAUAAAGAAAACGCUUCACCUGUUUUGCAAAAAAGUCUUGAAAAUAAUCAAAUAUCAAAAUCUUCUAAAGCGACAGCAAAGGAAGAUGAACAAAAAAUUAGCGUUAAUAAUACGCCAAAGGAUAAUAAUACGAGUAACAACAACAAGCCGCUUUCUGCCAGUGCCGUGGUUAGUAAGCAGCAAGCCGUUGUUGCUAACGAAGCUGAUAAUAGUCUUCCGGAGAAAGGCGUUGAUGCUGAGAGGAAGAUUACCAAAAAAGAGAAGGGUAAGGCACCACCCCCACCAUCUGCAGCCAUUGCUGCUGCUGCUGCUGCCGCUGCCGCCAGCGCUGUUAUUUCCAAAACGCCAGAAGCACCACCAGCACCAGCAGCAAAUGCACGCACAGAACCGGAACGCCGCAUCACAGAUGAAGCGACGCCCAUUGAGCUGACUCAAAAUGUGGAAAUCGAUGUCAAUCAAGCGACGUCAGAGGCAUACAACGCUAACGAGCAUCAAGAGCAAGCGCAUGCCUUGCCAUCACCACCAUCGCCAACCACAUCAUCAGCUGCGGUAUCGGUUAAUUCCACUUCGUCGUCAUCGGUUAAGAGUGGGGCCAUGUUAAGCUCCAGCACAUCGCUAAUUACCAUUAAUAGCGAGGCUUCGCCAUCGAGCACACCCACGCGUUCCUUUGGCAAUCAGGCACAGCAACAAAGUGUGGUACAGCCAAAUAGCUUGGAAGCUGGCGUUAGUCAAAUAAGGGUGGUCACCAGCACGCACCCACCAGUUAUCAUAGACAAUUCUGUGCCGCCUGCUGCUGCUCAGAGUGAAGUGAUUAUCGUUUCAAAUGAUUUGAAUAAAAGCACACACGUGCCAGAAUCCUCGACAGAUGAUGACUUCACUUCGUUCGAUGACAGUCUGGGCGAUUCACCGCUAUCGCCACGACAAUCAUCGAUGAUAGUGGCAGUUUGCGAGAAAGGCAGCGUUGAAGAGACGGACAAGGCUGACAUUAUGGGCAAGUCGGCGCGCGCACGCAAAUUGGAUGAAAGUGAAGUGCUUAUUGUUAGCCCAUCUUUCGUUGACGACGACUCGGCCUAUAAUACAGCCACUGGCAGUCACGAUCACAGCGAACAUCUAAUGGACACCAGUCACGUUUCGGUUGUCACUGUCGGCGAUGAGAUAAAAGUCAAGGAUAGCAGUCACUUAAAUAACGAUCAAUAUGAUACAACACUUAGCAACGAUAACAACAAUCUAAAUAACCAACGACCAUAUGUUAAGAAUCACCAAAAUGGCCAAAUAAUUACAGGCACACCCACAGAAGAUGUAAAUAUUAUUAUUAACCGUAAUACGCCACAAGACAUUAGUGCCGGCAAGCGGCCGUCACCGGACAAUAGCGUAGGCUCCAUGGAUUCACGUACACUGAGCGAAAGCGGUUCGCUACGCUCGAGUGGCGGUGUCGUACGACGGGCCGUCGGCUUGAAUAUUGCAACGGUAGAUCAAAGUGACGUGGAAAGUAUCGGCACCACAACUAGUCAUGAUAGUCGUAAUGAGGCGGAGGCUCCCAUAAUGGGUACGAAAAUACCCGAGGACGAGGAGGUGGUCAUACGACGAAAACAAGGAGCGCCAAAGAUAGUUGCACCAGCCGGGCCGACUAAAGAAGAAAUCGAAUUACGUAAUCUACGUAAGAAGACACGAAAACGUACACGAAAAUUCGAAAUCGACGGUGUACAAAUGACGACCACCACAAGCCGUGUCAUCUACGGUGAUGAGGAGUCUGGUCGACUCUACGACGAUCAUGUGUUCCGUAAGCAGGAACUGCGUGAAUUGAAAAUGUUGCAAAAACAAGAGAAGAAACAACAAAACGAUUUGCAAUUGAAGGAGCAAAUUGCGCGUGAACAGCAGGAUCGUCGGUUCGAACAAGAACGUAUAUCGUUGGAAAAGACUUACGAAGCUGAUAUGGAUACUUUGGCAAGGCAACAGAAGCAAUUAAUUGAGCGGACCGAGCAGGCGCAGGAGCAUGAGUUGCGUACAUCCUCCAAACGCAUACGUUCCGAACAAGAACAGGAACUGAAAAUCUUCCGUGAGAAUCUUAAACAAGAAAUCCGUUUGCUUAAACAGGAAGUUGACUUACUGCCCAAAGAUAAACGUAAAGAUGAAUUCAAGCAACGUCGUUCCGCCAUGGAACUAGAUCAUGAGGAGAAGGAACGCGCCUUCUUGGAUUCGCUUAAGGAACGCCAUGAAUUGCUCUUGCGGCGAUUAAGCGAAAAACAUCGCGAUCAUCUUGCCACAAUUAAUCGCAAUUUCCUACAACAAAAACAAAAUGCCAUGCGUACACGCGAAGCGUUACUUUGGGAGUUGGAAGAGAAGCAGUUGCACGAACGCCAUCAAUUGGCUAAACGACACGUCAAGGAGCUAUGCUUCAUGCAACGCCAUCAAAUGAUUGUGCGGCACGAGAAAGAGUUGGAUCAGGUGAAGAAGAUGUUGCAACGCAAAGAGGAGGAUAUGAUCAAGAAACAGGCGUUGGAGAAACGUGCACUGCCCAAGCGUAUACGUGCCGAACGUAAAGCGCGCGAUUUGAUGUUCCGUGAGUCAUUGCGCAUAUCAACAAAUCUAGAUCCGGAAGUUGAAAGAGAACGUCUAAAGAAGUUCCAAGAGCAAGAGAAGAAACGUUACACCCAGGAAGAGCGCCGAUUUGAAAUUAAACAUCAGAAACAAUUGGAAGAGCUACGCGCUACACGCGAGGGGGCGAUAAGAGAACUUGAACAACUGCAGAAUGAGAAACGUAAGGCAUUGGUCGAGCACGAACAAGCCAAGCUUACGGAUAUCGAUGAGCGCUUGAAGGCUGAGUUGCGUGACUGGAAGGAGCAAUUAGUACCUAGAAAGCAGACAUUUUGGUGGUCAGCACUUGUGGCAAUGAGUGAGUGGUGAAUUCCUUUCACAAGGCUUUUUUAGAGUGUCGGCGCUUGGUGGAGCUUGGCUGAAAUUUUUAUGUUGAAAUUGAAAAAGCGUAAAUACAACAGCUGUCAAAAUCAAAUGGGGUUGCCGUACGCUCAAAUGUUUCUAGCGACUGAAAAUGCCGUGUUGGUAAACGAGUAAAGGAAAUUAAAGAAAAUAAAGGAUA
rnacentral:misc_RNA from 1 species